rnacentral:rRNA from 1 species
AGAGUUUGAUCCUGGCUCAGGAUGAACGCUGGCGGCAUGCCUAAUACAUGCAAGUCGAACGAAGGAUCCCUUCGGGGGUCUUUAGUGGCGAACGGGUGAGUAAGACGUAAGGAACCUGCCCCUAUGCCUGGGAUAACUCUGGGAAACGAGAGCUAAUACCGGAUAGGUGAACGGAAGACAUCUUCGGUUCAUGAAAGAUGGGGAACAUCACAGAGGGAUGGCCUUACGGCGCAUUAGCUAGUUGGAGAGGUAGAGGCUCACCAAGGCGAUGAUGCGUAGCCGGCCUGAGAGGGUGAACGGCCACAUUGGGACUGAGACACGGCCCAGACUCCUACGGGAGGCAGCAGUAGGGAAUUUUCGGCAAUGGGCGAAAGCCUGACCGAGCAAUGCCGCGUGAGUGAAGAAGGCCUUCGGGUUGUAAAGCUCUGUUGUAAAGGAAGAACGGAUGGCAUAGGGAAUGAUGCCAUUGUGACGGUACUUUACGAGGAAGUCACGGCUAACUACGUGCCAGCAGCCGCGGUAAUACGUAGGUGGCGAGCGUUAUCCGGAAUUAUUGGGCGUAAAGGGUGCGCAGGCGGCAAGAAAAGCUUAAGGUGAAAGCGUGGGGCUCAACUCCAUAAAGCCUUAGGAACUAGCUUGCUAGAGUGCAGGAGAGGGCGAUGGAAUUCCAUGUGUAGCGGUAAAAUGCGUAGAUAUAUGGAGGAACACCAGUGGCGAAGGCGGUCGCCUGGCCUGUAACUGACGCUGAGGCACGAAAGCGUGGGGAGCAAAUAGGAUUAGAUACCCUAGUAGUCCACGCUGUAAACGAUGGAUACUAAGUGUUGGGGAAACUCAGUGCUGCAGUUAACGCAAUAAGUAUCCCGCCUGGGGAGUAUGCACGCAAGUGUGAAACUCAAAGGAAUUGACGGGGGCCCGCACAAGCGGUGGAGUAUGUGGUUUAAUUCGACGCAACGCGAAAAACCUUACCAGGCCUUGACAUCCCUUGCGAAGCUUUAGAGAUAGAGUGGAGGAUAUCAAGGAGACAGGUGGUGCAUGGUUGUCGUCAGCUCGUGUCGUGAGAUGUUGGGUUAAGUCCCGCAACGAGCGCAACCCUUGUCUUUAGUUACCAUCAAGUAAAGUUGGGGACUCUAAAGAGACUGCCGGUGAUAAACCGGAGGAAGGUGGGGAUGACGUCAAAUCAUCAUGCCCCUUAUGGCCUGGGCUACACACGUACUACAAUGGCGCAUACAGACGGAAGCGAAGGAGCGAUCUGAAGCAAAACCGAGAAAGUGCGUCACAGUUCGGAUUGAAGUCUGCAACUCGACUUCAUGAAGCCGGAAUCGCUAGUAAUCGCAGAUCAGCAUGCUGCGGUGAAUACGUUCUCGGGCCUUGUACACACCGCCCGUCAAACCAUGAGAGUUGGCAAUACCCGAAGCCGGUGGCCUAACCUAGCAAUAGGAGGGAGCCGUCGAAGGUAGGGCUGAUGAUUGGGGUUAAGUCGUAACAAGGUAACC